UGGGGAAUCUUGCACAAUGGGCGAAAGCCUGAUGCAGCGACGCCGCGUGCGGGACGAAGGCCUUCGGGUUGUAAACCGCUUUCAGCAGGGACGAGGCGUAAGUGACGGUACCUGCAGAAGAAGCCCCGGCUAACUACGUGCCAGCAGCCGCGGUAAUACGUAGGGGGCAAGCGUUAUCCGGAUUCAUUGGGCGUAAAGCGCUCGUAGGCGGUCUGUUAGGUCGGGAGUUAAAUCCGGAGGCUCAACCUCCGUCCGCUCCCGAUACCGGCAGACUUGAGUUUGGUAGGGGAAGGUGGAAUUCCUAGUGUAGCGGUGGAAUGCGCAGAUAUUAGGAAGAACACCAGUGGCGAAGGCGGCCUUCUGGGCCAUAACUGACGCUGAGGAGCGAAAGCUAGGGGAGCAAACAGGAUUAGAUACCCUGGUAGUCCUAGCUGUAAACGAUGGACACUAGGUGUGGGGGAGCCUUUCCUCCGUGCCGCAGCUAACGCAUUAAGUGUCCCGCCUGGGGAGUACGGCCGCAAGGCUA
rnacentral:rRNA from 1 species